UUCCCUGUCUGUUUCAAAAAGCGGGUUCACACACACUCUCUCAAAGCAACUUCAGUCUUUGCGAGGCUCAGAACUCGCAUUCUUACUUCUUUUAUCACUGUAAGGAGGAAGUUAUGGAAGGAGUGAUGGUUAAGGAGGAAGAAACGGUGACAUGUGCUUUGGGAUCAUCGACGUCUUCUUCGUCUGCCAGCUUCUCACCUCAGCCAAUGGAGGGGCUGCACGAUGUGGCGCCGCCUCCGUUUCUGACAAAGACCUUUGAUAUGGUGGAAGACCCUUCGACGGACUCGAUUGUAUCGUGGAGCACAGCUCGCAACAGCUUCGUCGUUUGGGACUCCAGCAAGUUCUCCACCACUCUUCUUCCUCGGUACUUUAAGCACAGUAACUUCUCCAGCUUCAUUCGCCAACUCAAUACAUAUGGUUUCAGAAAGGUUGAUCCUGAUCGAUGGGAAUUCGCAAAUGAAGGGUUUCUAGGAGGGCAAAGGCAUUUAUUGAAGACCAUCAAGCGGAGAAGACAUGUCGGCCAAGGUUUAAAUCAACAAGGAGGAGGAGGAGGAGGAGCUUGUGUCGAAUUGGGAGAAUAUGGCUUGGAAGGCGAUCUUGAAACAUUAAGGAGAGAUAAAAGUUUGUUAAUGGCGGAGAUUCUAAAGUUGAGACAGCAGCAACAGAAUUCGAGGGAGGAAAUCAUUGCCAUGGAGGAUAGGUUACAAGCCACUGAGAGGAAACAACAACAGAUGAUGACUUUUCUUGCUAAAGCACUCAGCAACCCAACCUUCAUCCAGCAAUUUGCUCAGAGAAGAGAACUGCGAAGUGUUGAAAUAGGACGAAAGCGGAGGCUGACUGCACGCCCCAGUGCGGAGGAUUUGCAGGAAGAAGUGGUGUCUGUCACGGCAGGCAGUGGCCUGGAUGUGGACCACACAAGCCAAGAACAUGACGAAUUGGCGACAAUGGAGUCAGAAAUAGAGACGUUUCUCUUAUCUUCCUGGGACAAUGAAUCGAGCAGCGAUAUCAAAGACCCAAUUGCAAGUUUAAUUCCCACAGGAAGUGGCGGCAAUUUGGAUUUUGUAAACGAGACAAUAUGGGAGGAGCUACUGAAUGAAGAUUUGAUUUCUGGAAAUGCAGAAGAAGAAGCUGUGGUGGAUUAUCAAUCAGAAAUCGAAGCAGAAAUAGAGGAUUUGGUUGCACAACCAGCCAACUGGGGUGAGGAUUUGCAAGAUCUUGUAGAUCAACUGGGUGAUCUCAGGUCGAAGACACGACCAAACUCAUAAAUGAUAUAUUGAUUGAUGUUGUGGUGUUUUGUUUGUUGGGUUGGUCUCUGCAACUCUAUUCCUUUAUCUCAUUUAGCAGGGAUGGUGAGAGUUGCUAAGAGACCAACAUAUCCAGCUCUCCUGUAUCCUUUACUAAGUUUUCCAAGUAUUGUUUAACUUUUCUGCUGCACUUGAAUCAGUUCUCGAAUUUGUGAUUUGUUGUUUCUUUUUCUGCAUUUUGCAGGCGGACUGGGCAUGGGAAAUUACGAAGGAGGGGUUUCCUUCACUGAUUCACAUCUCGAAGAUUUAGUUACAGUCUCCAGCUUAUAUAUGAAUUAUUUGAUCCAUUACUCCAAGCUUUAGUAGUUAACAGUUCGAUUCGGUUGAUAUCUAUGCGUGUAGAUAUCAGCCAUGUACUAAGAAUUUCUGGUUUAAAUUCGUAAUAUUGCUUUCAUAAUCAUUUAUCCUUUUUUUAAAUUAACUAAUUUUGGUUUCUGAGUAUGGUCAGUUGUUGCUGCAUGAUGAUCAUUUCACUCUCUUAUAGCUAUAUGUUUCAGCUCAUUGCUUGUUGCCUAGUUGGAUACACGUGCCGCACCUACUUCCAUUUGAGUAAGAUUUUUCCCCAUAAUGGUCAAGCUACUGCAGGAUAUCGUAUUCUUCUUUGCAGCUAUUCAGAAUACACAAGCCAUGGAAGUUCCAAAGAGAAACAGUCUAACAGAGAUUCAAGUUGGGGAUACCUCUUCUCUUCAACUUCUCUGCAAUGAAAAGGGAAAAUAAGAAGGAUGGAGAAUAAGUAAAGCCUGGCCUAUUAAUUGGCAAAUUACACCCCACCAUGGAUUGGUGUGAAUGAAUUUCUUCUCAAGAUUUGAGUGGUUGAUGGGAAUUUUCAGAAGUUUUUACACAAAGAAGUCCCCUUUUUGCUAAAUCAUAGGCUGCUCGUUUAAACAAGCAACGAGUUUCUUGAAAGUUCUAUUAAUGUGCCGAGAAAGUCCGUUUGGGCUUUCUCUUGUUUGUUUUCUUGGUGAUGGCAACUGUUAAAAGAAGAUGAGUCCGAUGGGGAUAAUGAUAAAGCAGUGCAUUGGUCUUGUUUUUA